rnacentral:lncRNA from 1 species
GGAAUCAUAUUUCUUCUUGAACACGGAAAUUUGCUUUAUAACUGACUCGUUUACAUUUAGAAAAUGGAAAGGAGAAAAGAAGCAACUGAAGACUCCAACUGAGGCUCCAACCUGCAGCAUUGCCGACUUUGCCAGAUCCCUUCUAAAGAUUCAUUCAGCAUUCUUUGGAGCAUCAAGUCUUGGCCAGCCCUGGAGAAGAACUUCUUAGUCAGCUGGGAAACAAAGGCUGCCUUCAGUGAACUAAGACCCAAAUUGUGGGCCUGCAUCCUGCAACCUGAAAGACACAACUGUUACACUUCCAGGAGCCUCCGAAGUCAGCGAGGAGGUAUAACCAUCUUGUCAGGUGUUCCCCAGAAGAACCAUUAUUGAGCUGGAAGCACAUUUGUCAGAGUGAAGUGACUACUGAGUCUGUAAAAGUUACUGUGGUCGAAGUUGCCUAGGACGGUGGCUGCUGGGUGAACUGGGGGAUCAGGUCAG